GAUGAAGAACGCAGCGAAAUGCGAUAAGUAAUGUGAAUUGCAGAAUUCAGUGAAUCAUCGAAUCUUUGAACGCACAUUGCGCCCGCCAGUAUUCUGGCGGGCAUGCCUGUUCGAGCGUCAUUACAACCCUCAGGCCCCCGGGCCUGGCGUUGGGGAUCGGCGAGGCGCCCCCCGCGGGCACGCGCCGUCCCCCAAAUACAGUGGCGGUCCCGCCGCAGCUUCCAUUGCGUAGUAGCUAACACCUCGCAACUGGAGAGCGGCGCGGCCAUGCCGUAAAACACCCAACUUCUGAAUGUUGACCUUGAAUCAGGUAGGAAUACCCGCUGAACUUAAGCAUAUCAAUAAGCGGAGGA
rnacentral:misc_RNA from 1 species